CCCUUAAGUUUCAGAAAGUUGCGAUUUUGGUCCCCUAUAUUUCAAAAUAGCACUUUUGGCCCCCUAAGUUUCAGAAAGUUGCAAUUUUGACCCCCUAUGUUUCAAAAUAGCACUUUUGGCCCCCAAAAUUUCAAAAAGUUGCUAUUUUGGCCUCCUAUGUUUCAAAAUAGCAAUUUUGGCCCCCUAUGUUUACCCCUUUUGCAAAAUGAAAGUUCAAGACACUUUUCUAAAUGGAAGUUCAAGACACUUUUCUAAAUCAAAAUGACAUAACAAAUCAAUUCAUUACAUAUAUGAAGUCAUUACAUAAUUAAAAAGACAUAACAAAAAACACGAAGAGUUUUCAAUUUCCAUUGUUUCCUAUUUUUGGAUUUGGAAUUAGGUUUUUUUUUUUUUUUACGUACAGUGAAAAAUC
rnacentral:lncRNA from 1 species